rnacentral:rRNA from 1 species
UACGUAGGGUGCGAGCGUUAAUCGGAAUUACUGGGCGUAAAGCGUGCGCAGGCGGUUUUGUAAGCCAGAUGUGAAAUCCCCGGGCUCAACCUGGGAACUGCAUCCGAAACUGCCUUGCUCGAGUAUGGGAGAGGGAAGUGGAAUUUCCGGUGUAGCGGUGAAAUGCGUAGAUAUCGGAAGGAACAUCAGUGGCGAAGGCGACUUCCUGGACCAAUACUGACGCUCAGGUGCGAAAGCGUGGGGAGCAAACAGG